GAUGAACGCUGGCGGCGUGCCUAAUACAUGCAAGUCGAGCGAACAGACGCGGCGCUUGCUCCUCUGACGUGUGCGGCGCACGUGUGUGUAACACGUGUAUAAUCUACCUUUCAUUCGGAGAUCACUUCGGGAAACCUGAUCUUACACCGUAUUAUAUAUUCAUCCGCUUGGUGUAGUUGUGAAGGGCGUUUUUGCUGUCACUUGUACUCGCAUCCUCUCCGCUUUUGCUAGUUGUUAAGGUAACGGCUUACUAUGGCGACAAUGCGUAGCCGACCUGUGAGGGUGAUAGGCCAAACUGGAACAGAGACACGGUCCAAACUCCUACAGGAGGCAGCGGUAGGGAAGUUUGCAAAAUUGGCGAAAGCCUGAAGGAGUAACGCCGCGUGAGUGAUGAAGGUAUUCGGAUCGUAAAACUGUGUUAUUAGGGAAGAAAAAAUGUGGAAGUAACUAUGCACGUCUUGACGGUAGCUAAUCAGAAAGCCACGGCUAACUACGUG
rnacentral:rRNA from 1 species